UCCCCGCAUAAAGCGGGUGGAGCCCAAAG
rnacentral:sRNA from 1 species